UACGGAGGAGGCGAGCGUUGUUCGGAAUCACUGGGCUUAAAGCGCGUGUCGGCGGGACUGAAGGUGUCUUGUGAAAGCCCCCGGCUCAACCGGGGAAGUGCUGGGCAAACCACAGUCCUUGAGGCAGGUAGAGGCAAGCGGAACUAUGGGUGGCGCGGUGAAAUGCGUAGAUAUCCAUGGGAACGCCGGUGGCGAAAGCGCCUUUCUGGGCCUGUCCUGACGCUGAGACGCGAAAGCGUAGGGAGCAAACAGG
rnacentral:rRNA from 1 species